rnacentral:rRNA from 1 species
GAUGAAAAUCCUUUAAUCAUCUUAUUGAUAAAAGUUACUCUAAGGAUAACAGGUUGAUCUUCCCUAAGAGCUCACAUCAACAGAAAGGUUUGGCACCUCGAUGUUGGUUCUUCGCCACCUAGGGCUGUAGUAUGUUCCAAGGGUUAGGAUGUUCACCCAUAAAGCGAUAUUUGAGCUGGUGAGUUGAUUUCAUC